GACGUAGGUGGCGAGCGUUAUCCGGAAUUAUUGGGCGUAAAGGAUGCGUAGGCGGCAUGAUAAGUUAUUGGUGGCAAAUCGAGGCUCAACCUCGUGGAAACUAAUAAUACUGUCUUGCUUGAGUGCAGAAGAGGUUAACGGAACUCCAUGUGGAGCGGUAAAAUGUGUAGAUAUAUGGAAGAACAUCAAUAACGGCGAAGGCAGUUAACUAUUCUGUUACUGACGUUGAGGCACGAAAGCGUGGGGAGCAAAAAGG
rnacentral:rRNA from 1 species